rnacentral:rRNA from 1 species
UACGGAGGGGGCUAGCGUUAUUCGGAAUUAUUGGGCGUAAAGAGCUCGUAGGCGGCUUGUCGCGUCGGCUGUGAAAACCCGCGGCUCAACUGGGGGAGGGGUCACGCGAUACUGAUCGACUCGAAGGCAGGAGAGGGUAGUGGAAUUCCCGGUGUAGCGGUGAAAUGCGCAGAUAUCGGGAGGAACACCUAUGGCGAAGGCAGCUCGCUGGGACGUUACUGACGCUGAGACGCGAAAGCGUGGGGAGCG